AAAAUGCACACGUACCUCAGUCGAGUCCAAGAGGGUUGUUUCAGUUCACUGUCUGAACAUCCUUGUACAAAAGCCUGGAUGGAGCUGGCAAAGGUGUGUCUGACCCAGAUCAUUUUAUUCAACCGUCGCAGGGAGGGAGAGGUGGCAAGCAUGCCCUUAACUGCGUUUACAUCACGAGACACCUCUGACCCGCAUGAUGAUGUAGACUGGGCACUGUCUGAAGUGGAGAAGAAACUGUGCAGACACUUUUCACGGAUUAUAAUCAGGGGAAAACGUGGUCGCCCUGUUCCUAUUCUCCUGACUCCCAAAAUGCUCACUUCACUAGAACUGCUUGUUGGGCAGAGGGAGGCUUGUGGCGUUCUAAAAGAAAAUUGUUACCUCUUUGCAAGACCAGAAUGUAUGACACAUUUUCGGGGUUCAGACUGCAUCCGUGGCUUUGCCAAAAUCUGCGGUGCUAAGUGUCCAAAGUCAUUGACGUCGACAAGACUCAGAAAGCAUGCUGCAACUCUUUCAACUGUGCUGAACAUGACAAACACAGAAAUGGACCAGUUGGCCAACUUUCUGGGGCAUGAUAUAAGAAUACACCGCGAAUACUACAGACUACCUGAGAAGACCCUGCAACUCGCUAAGAUUAGCAAACUCUUAAUGGCACUUGAGCAAGGACGAUUAGCAGAAUUUCAUGGCAAGAACUUGGAUGAAAUUGGGAUAGGUCCAGAUGAAAAGGUUUUUGAAAGUGAAGAUGAAAGCCCACAGGAGGCACACUGUUCAUCUACUGCUGAUGAAGAGACUCUUCCUCACAUCGAGAGCCCUGAAAUUCAACCAACCAAGAAGCGA
ensembl:lncRNA